rnacentral:rRNA from 1 species
CUACCCGGGUUUCUAAUCCCGUUUGCUCCCCUAGCUUUCGCGCCUCAGCGUCAGUGUCGGUCCAGGACGCCGCCUUCGCCACCGGUGUUCCUCCGGAUAUCUACGCAUUUCACCGCUACACCCGGAAUUCCACGUCCCUCUCCCGAACUCAAGCCAAGCAGUUUCCCGUGCAGUUCCUCAGUUGAGCCGAGGGAUUUCACACGGGACUUACAAGACCGCCUACGCGCCCUUUACGCCCAGUAAUUCCGAACAACGCUCGCUCCCUCUGUAUUACCGCGGCUGCUGGCAC